UAAUACGGAGGAUCCAAGCGUUAUCCGGAUUUAUUGGGUUUAAAGGGUGCGUAGGCGGCCUGUUAAGUCAGGGGUGAAAGACGGUAGCUCAACUAUCGCAGUGCCUUUGAUACUGAUGGGCUUGAAUGUACUUGAGGUAGGCGGAAUGUGACAAGUAGCGGUGAAAUGCAUAGAUAUGUCACAGAACACCAAUUGCGAAGGCAGCUUACUAAAGUAUGAUUGACGCUGAGGCACGAAAGCGUGGGGAUCAAACAGGAUUAGAUACCCUGGUAGUCCACGCCCUAAACGAUGAAUACUCGAUGUUGGCGAUAUACAGUCAGCGUCAAAGCGAAAGCGUUAAGUAUUCCACCUGGGGAGUACGCCCGCAAGGGUG
rnacentral:rRNA from 1 species